CGCAGGCAGCCGGGCCACCCCAACCAAGCGCUAAUAAAAUCGCCACCGAGGCGUGGCCGCCGCUCGGGCUUUCUUCCUAGGGGGCGCUCCGGAGCGCGGGCGGGAGAUGCACACGAGGGAGCGGGACUCUUUGCCCUCUCUGGGCGGAAGGAACGCGGUCACCCUGAGAAAGGACCGGCGCGACCCGACUGGGCGACCGGGGGGAGCGGCCCCCCCCCUCUGCGGACCGGGCUGCAGGCACGGGCCUGAGCGCGGCGUUCCUCAGAUGUCUGGACCCGCAGGCCGCUCAGUUUCCCGGUGUCCGCUGGCAGCCUCGAGCUAGGGGCGCGCUCUGGCCCGCGGUGCAGUCGCGCAGUAUAGCAGGGCGGCCUUGGGGCUCUGAGGCCCAACCGGCGAAAGAAGUAGACUCGGCCCUAACCAUCUCGACGCUACAAUUUUUGUUUCUGGAUCUCUGAACUGGGGAGUGAGUGCUGUGGAGUGAGGGGGAAAUAAGAUAAACAUGAGACCUGGCCCAGUAGACGCGUUUUCAGUUCUUGCUGACCUGCGGUCUCCGCUUGGAGCGCUGGGGGAGAGGGCGGAGUCCCCCGGCAGAGGUGAAGCGAGAGCUGCUUUCUGGCAGCGUUUCCAGCCUGGAAGGAGUUGUGCUCUGUAAUGCUUUUCUGAAUUGCAUUCGGCGAAAGGAGUAGGAAACUGCGUUUAUUCCUUCACCAGAUUUGAGGGCAUCUGCUGCGUGCCAGGCUGCCUGGCAUUGGGGGCUGUUUAUGAUUUUCUUUUCCUCUUUUUCUGAUUUCUUCCCCCCCACUGACGAAUAAGUAGAAAUAAGUGAGGAUUUAACUGUGAGCCUCUAGUAUGCAGAUGUAUGCUGAGCGGUAUUGGGGUUCAGCAGAUACUCUCCAAACACUUGAAAAUACUGUCUUGUAAUAAUUCUAUUAUGGGUCAAUCCAGAGUGGAUCAAACCAGAAAUGAACGUCUCUGGCCAGAGCAAACCUUACUGAGAGAAAUAAUAUAUCUAACUCAGGAAUUGAGCCAAGAAAACCCUGGGAAGUAAAUAUUUCUGAAGUGAAAAGUCUCCUGUGUGUGUACAAAACUAUCUGGUUCUAGUAGUAGAGAUAGUCUCAUCUCUCUAUUAAAGCUUAAUGUGAUUCCAUUAAAUAUUUGAAUCAUAAAACUGGACCUUUUAUUCUGUUCCUUUUCUCAAUAAAUGCAGUUCUGAAUAUUAUUUUAA
rnacentral:lncRNA from 1 species